rnacentral:rRNA from 1 species
UACAGAGGGUGCAAGCGUUGUUCGGAAUUAUUGGGCGUAAAGCGCGUGUAGGCGGCUUUGCAAGUUGGGUGUGAAAUCCCUCGGCUCAACCGAGGAAGUGCGCCCAAAACUGCAGAGCUUGAGUACCGGAGAGGAUGGCGGAAUUCCCCAAGUAGAGGUGAAAUUCGUAGAUAUGGGGAGGAACACCGGUGGCGAAGGCGGCCAUCUGGACGGAUACUGACGCUGAGACGCGAAAGCGUGGGGAGCAAACAGG